rnacentral:rRNA from 1 species
AACACGUGAGCAACCUGUCCUUGAGUUGGGGAAAACCCGUUGGAAACGACGGCUAAUACCGGAUGUGGCGCCUGGGGACAUCCUUGGAGCGCUAAAGGGGGCCGCAAGGCUCUCGCUCGAAGAGGGGCUCGCGCAUCAUCAGCUCGUUGGCGGGGUAACGGCCCACCAAGGCAUACGAUUAGCUGGUCUGAGAGGAUGACCAGCCGCACUGGGACUGAGAUACUGCCCAGACUCCUACGGGAGGCUGCAGUCGAGGAUCAUUUGCAAUGGGCGAAAGCCUGACAAUGCGACGCUGCGUGGAGGAUGAAGGCCUUCGGGUUGUAAACUCCUGUCAUAAGGGAAAAGGCGAGGGGACCUAAUACGUCCUUUAGUUGAUUGUACUUUAAGAGGAAGCGACGGCUAACUCUGUGCCAGCAGCCGCGGUAAUACAGAGGUCGCAAGCGUUGUUCGGAUUUACUGGGCGUAAAGGGCACGUAGGUGGCGAGGCGUGUCGAGUGUGAAAGCUCUGGGCUCAACCCAGAAAGUGCGCUCGAAACUACCUUGCUUGAGUGCGGGAGAGGGAAUCGGAAUAUAGGGUGUAGCGGUGAAAUGCGUUGAUAUCCUAUAGAACACCGGAGGCGAAGGCGGAUUCCUAGAACGCAACUGACACUAAGGUGCGAAAGUCGGGGGAGCAAACAGGAUUAGAUACCCUGGUAGUCCCGACCAUAAACGGUGCAUACUCGAGGUAGGGAGAAUUACCCUUUCUGUCUCUUAGCUAACGCGUUAAGUAUGCCGCCUGGGGAGUACGGCCGCAAGGCUAAAACUCAAAGAAAUUGACGGGGGCCCGCACAAGCAGAGGAGCAUGUGGCUUAAUUCGAUGCAACGCGAAGAACCUUACCUGGAUUUGACAUACAGCUGCGAGGCUUAUGAAAGUAGCCGCUCGCCUCUCGAGGGAGCUGUACAGGUGCUGCAUGGCUGUCGUCAGUUCGUGCCGUGAGGUGUUUGGUUAAGUCCACCAACGAACGCAACCCCUUUGAUCCGUUACCAGCGAGUAAAGUCGGGGACUCAGGUCACACUGCCUGUUUACGCAGGAGGAAGGUGGGGAUGACGUCAAGUCAGUAUGGCCCUUACAUCCAGGGCUGCACACGUGCUACAAUGGCAUAUACAGAGCGAAGCGAGACCGCGAGGUGGAGCAAACCGCUUAGAGUAUGCCUCAGUUCAGAUUGGGGUCUGCAACCCGACCCCAUGAAGUCGGAUUUGCUAGUAACGGCGUAUCAGCUACGACGCCGUGAAUGCGUUCCCGGGCCUUGUACACACCGCCCGUCACAUCA